rnacentral:rRNA from 1 species
UACGUAGGUGGCAAGCGUUGUCCGGAUUUACUGGGCGUAAAGAGCGCGCAGGCGGUCGUUCAAGUCGCGUGUGAAAGCCCCCGGCUCAACUGGGGAGGGUCACGCGAUACUGAUCGACUCGAAGGCAGGAGAGGGAAGUGGAAUUCCCGGUGUAGUGGUGAAAUGCGUAGAUGUCGGGAGGAACACCUGUGGCGAAAGCGGCGCACUGGACCACAACUGACGCUGAGGCGCGAAAGCUAGGGGAGCAAACAGG